AGAGUUUGAUCCUGGCUCAGGACGAACGCUGGCGGCGUGCUUAAUACAUGCAAGUCCCACGGGGAUUAUUUGGAGUUCGGCUUCGGCCAAACGAAGGAUAAUCCUAGUGGCGAACGGGUGAGUAACGCGUGGGUAAUCUGCCCUCUUGACCGGGAUAACAGCUCGAAAGGGCUGCUAAUACCGGAUACGAACAUGCUUCGGAUGGGGCAUGUUGAAAGGAUGCCAUGGCAUCGCAGGAGGAUGAGCCCGCGUCCCAUUAGCUAGUUGGUGGGGUAAUGGCCUACCAAGGCGACGAUGGGUAGCCGGCCUGAGAGGGUGGACGGCCACACUGGGACUGAGACACUGCCCGGACUCCUACGGGAGGCUGCAGUAACGAAUAUUCCGCAAUGGGCGCAAGCCUGACGGAGCAAUGCCGAGUGCAGGAUGAAGCGGCUUCGCCGUGUAAACUGCUGUCAGG
rnacentral:rRNA from 1 species